rnacentral:rRNA from 1 species
GAUGAACGCUGGCGGCGUGCCUAAUACAUGCAAGUCGAGCGAACGGACGAGAAGCUUGCUUCUCUGAUGUUAGCGGCGGACGGGUGAGUAACACGUGGAUAACCUACCUAUAAGACUGGGAUAACUUCGGGAAACCGGAGCUAAUACCGGAUAAUAUUUUGAACCGCAUGGUUCAAAAGUAAAAGACGGUCUUGCUGUCACUUAUAGAUGGAUACGCGCUGCAUUAGCUAGUUGGUAAGGUAACGGCUUACCAAGGCAACGAUGCAUAGCCGACCUGAGAGGGUGAUCGGCCACACUGGAACUGAGACACGGUCCAGACUCCUACGGGAGGCAGCAGUAGGGAAUCUUCCGCAAUGGGCGAAAGCCUGACGGAGCAACGCCGCGUGAGUGAUGAAGGUCUUCGGAUCGUAAAACUCUGUUAUUAGGGAAGAACAUAUGUGUAAGUAACUGUGCACAUCUUGACGGUACCUAAUCAGAAAGCCACGGCUAACUACGUG